rnacentral:lncRNA from 1 species
ACGUCUACUGAGAUUUGGAUCAUGUGGACUGGCCAGGUCCAACAUCAUCACCUCCCAGUCACACGAGAAACAUCGUCCCGAACUUGAAGGGCCAUGAACAUACUAUACAUAACAAAACAUAAGUUCAUUAUGACAAUUAAACUUAUCUUAAGGUUCCCUAUCCUAUUGAUCUCAAACCCCAAACCUCUCUUAAGACAUAUACACACAGACAUACGUACACAGGCAAAACACUCUAUUCAUAAAAUCUAUCCUGUAGCAAAAGUCGAUUUGAUAUUCCGUCGUACUUGAACAUUUGAACGUAGAGACUAUAGUUCAACCUUUGAUGCAACGUUUACCUAGAAUUCGUCGUGUAUCGUCAUUCUGUGCUUUUCCUUUACCUCGUACAUAUCUUUUCAAUCCUCUUUGUAGUUCAAAAGAACCAUCAUUUUCUUAAGGGAGCUGAAACGCUCUAAGUUCUCUUUCAUUCUUCUACAUCAUCACCUUAAGAAUCUAGAUUGUAGAGAUAUCCUACUAAUCUAGUAGUCUAUGUUCUUUUAGAAUUGUGAUCAUGCAACUUAUAGCAAUCUAUGUUCUCCGGGAAAACAUAUGUCAAUUUUUCUAUCAUUCGUCUGAUCAUAACAUCAUAGAUUACGAAAAUAUGCCAUGAAAGGCAAAACAUUCAACAUUUCAUCAUAACCUGCUCUUCACAUAAACAUAUUCAUGAAGCAUUUUAGAACAUUAACAUCUUUAAAACGUUGAAACCGCAGUUACCUUCUUUCCUUGAUUGAGCACGAUGCAAUGGAGUGUUGAGCGGUGCCAUAUGAACCCGUGUAAG